rnacentral:rRNA from 1 species
UCGAGAAUCUUCCGCAAUGCACGAAAGUGUGACGGAGCGACACCGCGUGAUGGAUGACACCCCUCGGGGCGUAAACAUCUUUUAUGAGGGAGGAAAUUAUUGACGUUACCUCAUGAAUAAGGGGCUCCCAAUCUCGUGCCAGCAGGAGCGGUAAUACGAGAGCCUCAAGCGUUAUCCGGAAUUAUUGGGCGUAAAGGGUGAGUAGGUGGUUUGAUUAGUCUUCUGUUAAAGACUCGGGCUCAACCCGAGA